UAGUUAUAUUCAAGGGGCCUCAGAAAGAAGCUGAGCGGGUCUGGCCUGGCCAAGACAGUAACAUAGAACAGACAUAUCUGCAAGCCUUCACCACACAGGACACACAGAGUUCUAGGUUAUAUGAAGCAGCAAGGCAUGCUCUUAGUUAAGCUCUGAAGUCAUAGAACUGGAUCAUCAUUUAUUUCCUAACUGGCCCUUGCUGGGUAAGUUUCUGUGUAUAUAG
rnacentral:lncRNA from 1 species